UACGUAGGGUGCAGGCGUUAAUCGGAAUUACUGGGCGUAAAGCGUGCGCAGGCGGCUUCCUAAGUCAGAUGUGAAAUCCCCGGGCUCAACCUGGGAACUGCGUUUGAAACUACAAGGCUAGAGUGUGGCAGAGGGGGGUGGAAUUCCACGUGUAGCAGUGAAAUGCGUAGAGAUGUGGAGGAACACCGAUGGCGAAGGCAGCCCCCUGGGUUAACACUGACGCUCAGGCACGAAAGCGUGGGGAGCAAACAGG
rnacentral:rRNA from 1 species